UAGGGAAUCUUCCGCAAUGGGCGAAAGCCUGACGGAGCAACGCCGCGUGAGUGAUGAAGGUCUUCGGAUCGUAAAACUCUGUUAUCAGGGAAGAACAAAUGUGUAAGUAACUGUGCACAUCUUGACGGUACCUGAUCAGAAAGCCACGGCUAACUACGUGCCAGCAGCCGCGGUAAUACGUAGGUGGCAAGCGUUAUCCGGAAUUAUUGGGCGUAAAGCGCGCGUAGGCGGUUUUUUAAGUCUGAUGUGAAAGCCCACGGCUCAACCGUGGAGGGUCAUUGGAAACUGGAAAACUUGAGUGCAGAAGGGGAAAGUGGAAUUCCAUGUGUAGCGGUGAAAUGCGCAGAGAUAUGGAGGAACACCAGUGGCGAAGGCGACUUUCUGGUCUGUAACUGACGCUGAUGUGCGAAAGCGUGGGGAUCAAACA
rnacentral:rRNA from 1 species